UGACGUUCUUUUAUCAAAGAUAAAUGCUCCUGUAAUAUAAUAUUAUAGCAUGGUAAUGAUAAAAAAGGAGAAAAAAAGAAGAAGGACUUUUGAGUUAUUAUAAGGUCCAUCAUUUUCCUUUUACUAAAACAUAUUGUUUCCUUAUUUGUAGUAGAAAAUAGAAGUCAUUGGGGAUAGUUAUCUUGCCAUUUCCAAGAGGCAUCAUCAAGCUACCUGCCCUUUUUUCUGAUUUUUGUGUGUCCG
rnacentral:lncRNA from 1 species